CCUCAGCCUCCCCAGUAGCUGGGACUACAGGAGUGUGCCAUCACACCCGGCUAAUUUUUGUAUUUUUAGUAGAGAUGGGGUUUCACCAUGUUAGCCAGGAUGGUCUCAAUCUCCUGACCUCGUGAUCCACCCGCCUCGGCCUCCCAAAGUGCUGGGAUUACAGGGGUGAGCCACCGCGCCUGGCCCACAUCUGCCCCAUCUUAGCACGC
rnacentral:lncRNA from 1 species